rnacentral:rRNA from 1 species
GUGGCGAACGGGUGAGUAACACGUAGGUAAUCUACCUUAUACACAGAGAUAACCACUGGAAACGGUGGCUAAUAUUUGGUAAGACGUUUCCGCAUGGAAGAUGGUUGAAAGACGCGUUUGCGUCGGUAUAAGAUGAGCCUGCGGUGCAUUAGCUAGUUGGAGAGGUAAAGGCUCCCCAAGGCGACGAUGCAUAGCCGGACUGAGAGGUUGAACGGCCACACUGGGACUGAGACACGGCCCAG